GGAUUAGAUACCCUGGUAGUCCACGCCGUAAACUAUGAUUACUCGAUAUUGGCGAUAUACAGUCAGUGUCUAAGCGAAAGUGCUAAGUAAUCCACCUGGGGAGUACGGUCGCAAGAUUGAAACUCAAAGGAAUUGACGGGGGCCCGCACAAGCGGUGGAGCAUGUGGUUUAAUUCGAUGAUACGCGAGGAACCUUACCAGGGCUUAAAUGCAGUCUGCCCGGUGUGGAAACACACCUUUCUUCGGACAGAUUGCAAGGUGCUGCAUGGCUGUCGUCAGCUCGUGUUG
rnacentral:rRNA from 1 species